rnacentral:rRNA from 1 species
GAUGAACGCUGGCGGCGUGCUUAACACAUGCAAGUCGAACGAAGCACUUUAUUACGAUUUCUUCGGAAUGACGAUUUAGUGACUGAGUGGCGGACGGGUGAGUAACGCGUGGGUAACCUGCCUUAUACAGGGGGAUAACAGUUAGAAAUGACUGCUAAUACCGCAUAAGCGCACAGGAUUGCAUGAUCUGGUGUGAAAAACUCCGGUGGUAUAAGAUGGACCCGCGUCUGAUUAGCUGGUUGGUGAGGUAACGGCCCACCAAGGCGACGAUCAGUAGCCGACCUGAGAGGGUGACCGGCCACAUUGGGACUGAGACACGGCCCAAACUCCUACGGGAGGCAGCAGUGGGGAAUAUUGCACAAUGGGGGAAACCCUGAUGCAGCGACGCCGCGUGAGCGAAGAGUAUUUCGGUAUGUAAAGCUCUAUCAGCAGGGAAGAUAGUGACGGUACCUGACUAAGAAGCUCCGG